rnacentral:rRNA from 1 species
AUACGUAGGGGGCGAGCGUUGUCCGGAAUUACUGGGCGUAAAGGGUACGUAGGCGGCUAGGUAAGUCAGAUGUGAAAGGCAUGGGCUUAACCCAUGUAAGCAUUUGAAACUGCUUAGCUUGAGUCGAGGAGAGGAAAGCGGAAUUCCUGGUGUAGCGGUGAAAUGCGUAGAUAUCAGGAGGAACACCAGUGGCGAAGGCGGCUUUCUGGCCUUGGACUGACGCUGAGGUACGAAAGCGUGGGGAGCAAACAGGAUUAGAUACCCUGGUAGUCCACGCCGUAAACGAUGAGUGCUAGGUGUCGGGGAUUAAUCUUCGGUGCCGGAGUUAACACAUUAAGCACUCCGCCUGGGGAGUACGUGCGCAAGCAUGAA